GAUGCUGAUCUAAAAGAGUGGGUGGUGAGUUCAUUUUAUUUUUUGGUUUGUGAAAUACAUGGAAAUCACCUUCAACUUGUUUUUUUUUUUUAAAGAAAAAAUUACAUGUUUACAUUUGAAGCCACAGAUUAAUCCUUAUAGUUUUAAGAAAAAACAAAAUAUCACCACAUAGAAAUAUCAAGCUGUUCGAAGAAAUAAUGGUAAGCUAUUCUAGCAUUUUUAAGAUUGUAAAAGAAUCUUCUUUUUGAAUCUUUAAAAGAACGGGGAAAGGGAAAACACUUUAUUUUCCAAGGAAUUUGAGGAUUUGCUUCUAUUUUCCUUCUUUUUCAUAUCAUAUAUAGUCUCACAGUUGGUCGCUUUACUAGCAGUGUACUUCUUCCAUUUGCAGCAAAAUACUGGUGUAUCAGAUGA
rnacentral:misc_RNA from 1 species